UACAGAGGGGGCAAGCGUUGUUCGGAAUUACUGGGCGUAAAGGGCGCGUAGGCGGCCAGAUAAGUCCGGUGUGAAAGUCAAAGGCUCAACCUUUGAAUGCCGCUGGAAACUGUCUGGCUUGAGUCCGGAAGGGGCGAGUGGAAUUCCUGGUGUAGCGGUGAAAUGCGCAGAUAUCAGGAGGAACACCAAUGGCGAAGGCAGCUCGCUGGAACGGUACUGACGCUGAGGCGCGAAAGCGUGGGGAGCGAACAGG
rnacentral:rRNA from 1 species